ACAGUGCCCGCCCCAUAUGAUUUUUGUUCUCAGGCGGAUGCUCUUCUACGUUCCCUUGAUUUCCGGUUUUCGGCGGUGCGGUGCGCCUCAAACCCUCCGCCUUACCGAGAGGGGAGCAUCGCCUGUUCUUGCCCUCGUUCCUCUACUCGCCCGCGCUUGUCUUUAGGGUUUCUUUGGAGCAGAAGCGGCCAUUCUCGAUCGAAGUGACAUGGCUGUUCCAUUUACACCUUCAAAACGACCUUACGAACGUAGCCUUUUGGAACCACAUGGUAGGAGCAAGUGGCAAAAAACCACACAUUCUAUCACACAGCCGCAUCAGUUGAAAGCAUUAGCCGGGGCUAUUAUCUUCCGUCUGCUUUGCCCUGCUUCCAAGUCUGGAAGUGUGAUUGGUAAAGGUGGUGGCAUUGUAGCAAGGAUACGCCAGGAGACUGGUGCAAAGAUCAGACUUGAAGAAAUUGUCCCUGGAUGUGAUGAGAGAAUAGUAGUUAUAACUUCUUCAGAGAGAGAUGUGGAAGCUGGUAAUGAGCAGCAUAAGGAAGACAAUGAAGAUGCGGAAGCUGCUGUUGGUGGUGGUGAUGAUGAUGCCAAGGAAGUUGCUGAUAAUGAUGAAAGGAAAGAGGAAACUGAUGCUGUAGAGGACACGAAAUCAGAGAAGGCGACAUCUUCAGCACUUAAGGCUCUCCUGCUUGUUUUCGAGAGGAUUGUUGAAGGCGACACAGACAAUGAUGGUGGAGAUGAACCAAGCAACAAGAAUUCUUCAGUUAUUGUGAGACUCCUGGUUCUAUCUAGCCAAGUUGGUUGCCUCCUCGGGAAGGGUGGGAGUGUAAUUAAGCAGAUGUCAGCUGAAAGUGGGGCCCAGAUCAGAAUACUUCCUAGGGAUAAACUUCCUCUUUGUGCCUCACCAAAUGAUGAAAUUGUCCAAAUAACAGGAGCGGUUGAUUCAGUGAAGAAAGCUCUCCAAUCCAUUUCGCAGCAGCUCCUGGAGAAUCCACCUCGUGAUCGUGAUUCAUUUCCUGCAAACAAUCCUUCUGGGCCAUCGUCUCAUCCAUUUGCUUCUAUUCCUAGGCCAGAAGGUCUUCCACCAGCCAGCUAUCAUCUUCCGAUUCAGGGACCACCUUUUUCCAGUAGACCAUAUGACGUCACUGAUUAUCAUUCAAGCAUUGCUGCACCUGUCUCUAAAUUCCAUGGAGCUGUUUCACCGGGCCAACCUCCAGUUUCUCCGGAGCUACUAACUCAUCGGUUGAUGUGUUCCAAUGACAAAGUUGGUAGCGUGAUAGGAAAAGGAGGGAGCAUUAUUAAGACUCUUCAACAUGAAACAGGUUGUGAAAUCAAAAUUCUUGAGACUGAACCUGAGUCAGAUGAUCGAAUCAUAGUCAUAUCGGGUCCUGCGCUCCCAAAUGAUAGGAUUUCACCAGUGCAAGAUGCUGUCCUUCGUGUGCAGCACAGAAUUAUGAUGGCUGUGCCUGAUAAUAAGGAGAGCAUGGUUUUAUCUAGGCUUCUCGUUGCUUCCAACCAAACUGGUUGCCUUCUUGGAAAAGGUGGUGCCGUAAUAGCAGAAAUGAGGAAGCUCUCUGGGGCUCACAUUCGUAUAUUGGGUAAAGAUCAGAUCCCGAAGGGUGUGCCAGAAAAUGAUGAAGUUGUUCAGAUUAAUGGUGAAUUUGGAGCUGUUCAGGAAGCUCUGCUGCAGAUUACUACUAGACUGAAGCAUCAUAUUUUCCGUGAUAAAUUACCUCCUAGUGCUCAUCCUGCUUUUGUCAAGCAAAUACUUCCAUUUGGUCCCUUCGUGGGAAGGAGGGACUCACCCCCUAGGUUGUAUUCCAAUUUGCCUUCAUUUCAGAAAGUUUCUGUUGGUCGACCUUAUGAUGAAAGAUCUGCUUUUGCUCAUACAUUUCACGGCACCAGUCUUCCUCCUAGUCAUGAGAGAGCUGCACCAUGGGCACCGCAGGGUAUGAGGGAGAGUGGUGGUCCCAUGCCUAUGCCUGACUACCCAGGAGGAGCCCCGCCAAGAAGAAUUAGUGGAUUUGCUGGUGGAAGUCAGCCAGCUGUUAUUACUAAUACAACUGUGGAUGUUGUUGUUCCUCGAUCGCUUGUACCUUCCAUAUAUGGGGAAGAAGGAGGCUGUUUAAGACGGAUUCGCGAGAUUUCAGAAGCAAAAAUUACCAUCACUGAACCUAGACCUGAAGCAAAAGAGACUCUGAUCAUAAUAUCUGGAACACCUGACCAGACUCAUGCUGCCCAGAGUCUUAUCCAAGCUUUUAUACUCAGUGAAUCAGGUGCACCUUGAUGUGCCAACUGUGUUAAGAUUACUCUGGUAUUCUGUGAUAGCCUUGAAGGUGUAUUCCCCAGGUUUCUUCUGCACCAAAUUUGCUGUAGACUACUGAUAAGUGCAACGGAAGUGCAGCAUACAUCCAGUGCGCCUGGUAUGGAUGCUUGAUCUUGCAUGGUCAGAAAUGUUGCAAAUGAGAAGUUUCCAACAAAUUUUAGCAGCACACAUCCUUUAUGUUUCGUAUGGAUGCUUGUUCUUUGAUUCCCACGUUCGCUUAUCAACUCCAGCUUCUUUUAAAAAUUGAGCACCGUCUCUGCCUAGGUGGGUGCUAGACCAUUCGACGUCGCUUUGGUCAGGUCACCUAGGAAGGCAAGCAAAAACUUUAUGGUCCAUUAAGCUCAUGUUCUUGGUAAAUCCAGUUUGAUGUUCGCAUGGUACCAGUCUCGAGUGUGAUAGCCUGGUUUGGUUUUGAUGUUGAUUAUCUGAUGAAAUCUAAACAAUUACCAGCCCCUUUUUAGCACCUUUGGCAUUAGUGAAGCUGUUGUUUUUUUGAAAUUUAGUUCAUGGAUGUGGGUUGUAAAGUUUAUUCUGGCUUUCA